AACGAACGCUGGCGGCAUGCCUAACACAUGCAAGUCGAACGAGACCUUCGGGUCUAGUGGCGCACGGGUGCGUAACGCGUGGGAACCUGCCCUUAGGUUCGGAAUAACUCCCCGAAAGGGGUGCUAAUACCGGAUAAUGUCUUCGGACCAAAGAUUUAUCGCCUUUUGAUGGGCCCGCGUUGGAUUAGCUAGUUGGUAGGGUAAAAGCCUACCAAGGCGACGAUCCAUAGCUGGUCUGAGAGGAUGAUCAGCCACACUGGGACUGAGACACGGCCCAGACUCCUACGGGAGGCAGCAGUGGGGAAUAUUGGACAAUGGGCGAAAGCCUGAUCCAGCAAUGCCGCGUGAGUGAUGAAGGCCUUAGGGUUGUAAAGCUCUUUUACCCGGGAUGAUAAUGACAGUACCGGGAGAAUAAGCUCCGGCUAACUCCGUG
rnacentral:rRNA from 1 species